rnacentral:rRNA from 1 species
CAGCACCUCAAGUGGUCAGGAUGAUUAUUGGGCCUAAAGCAUCCGUAGCCGGCUCUGUAAGUUUUCGGUUAAAUCUGUACGCUUAACGUACAGGCUGCCGGGAAUACUGCAGCGCUAGGGAGUGGGAGAGGUAGACGGUACUCGGUAGGAAGGGGUAAAAUCCUUUGAUCUAUUGAUGACCACCUGUGGCGAAGGCGGUCUACCAGAACACGUCCGACGGUGAGGGAUGAAAGCUGGGGGAGCAAACCGGAUUAGAUACCCGAGUAGUCC